AGUGAACGCUGGCGGCAGGCCUAACACAUGCAAGUCGAACGGCAGCACAGGAGAGCUUGCUCUCUGGGUGGCGAGUGGCGGACGGGUGAGGAAUACAUCGGAAUCUACCUUGUCGUGGGGGAUAACGUAGGGAAACUUACGCUAAUACCGCAUACGACCUUCGGGUGAAAGCAGGGGACCUUCGGGCCUUGCGCGAUUAGAUGAGCCGAUGUCGGAUUAGCUAGUUGGCGGGGUAAAGGCCCACCAAGGCGACGAUCCGUAGCUGGUCUGAGAGGAUGAUCAGCCACACUGGAACUGAGACACGGUCCAGACUCCUACGGGAGGCAGCAGUGGGGAAUAUUGGACAAUGGGCGCAAGCCUGAUCCAGCCAUGCCGCGUGGGUGAAGAAGGCCUUCGGGUUGUAAAGCCCUUUUGUUGGGAAAGAAAAGCAGUCGGCCAAUACCCGAUUGUUCUGACGGUACCCAAAGAAUAAGCACCGGCUAACUUCGUGCCAGCCGCCGCCGUAAUAC
rnacentral:rRNA from 1 species